rnacentral:rRNA from 1 species
AGCGUUGUCCGGAAUCAUUGGGCGUAAAGGGUACGUAGGCGGGUAAGCAAGUUAGAAGUGAAAUCCUAUAGCUCAACUAUAGUAAGCUUUUAAAACUGUUUAUCUUGAGGUAUGGAAGGGAAAGUGGAAUUCCUACUGUAGCGGUGAAAUGCGCAGAUAUUAGGAGGAAUACCGGUGGCGAAGGCGACUUGCUGGCCAGUAACCUGACGCUGAGGUACGAAAGCGUGGGUAGCAAACAGGAUUAGAUACCCUGGU